GACGAACGCUGGCGGCGUGCUUAACACAUGCAAGUCGAACGGAAAGGCCCUGCUCUUGCUGCGCGCUCGUUUGGCGAACAGGUGAGUAACACGCGAGUAACCUGCCCCUGUCAUUGGGAUAACUUCAGGAAACUGGGGCUAAUACCCGAUAGGAUCUCCUGCUGCAUGGUGGGGGUUGGUAAGAUUCGGCGUUUCGGGAUGGUCUCGAGGCUUAUCAGCUUGAUGGUGGGGUAGUGGCUUACCAAGGGUUUGACGGCUAGCCGGCCUGGGAGGUUGACCGGCCACAUUGGGACUGAGAUACGGCCCAGCAUCGUACGUGAGGCAGCAGGGGGGAAUAUUGCGCAAUGGGGGGAAGCCUGAUGCGACAGCGCCGCGUGCGGGAUGACGGCCUUCGGGUUAUGAACCGCUGUCGCAGGUGACGAAGCGUGAGUGACGGUAAUGGGUAAAGAAGCACCGGCUAACUACGUG
rnacentral:rRNA from 1 species